GAAUUUAUCCUAACUGGUUCAUGGAGGCUCUGGCUUCACUGAUGGCAGCUAGGGAUGAGUUAUCUAAGCAGAGAAUUGCCAAAAUUGGCCACAGCUCAAGUUCACCACUGCUGCCACACCAGGGGAAGCUGCUUUUCCAUCUCUGUGUUCUGGAGGAAUCCUCCUACCACCUCUUCUUACUUCUUAGCCCCAGAAAAGCAUCCUCAUGCAAAUAAACCCCUAAGAGGAGCCCUGCAUCCACCAACUCAGAUACUUCAUCACCAUACUCGGAAUAAUCCAAAUAGCUGGGUGAGUCCUGCUGAGAAGAGUGAAGACACUGGAGUCACACAGGUAGGUUUUAUUCACUAUCACACAGCUGUAGGACUCAGGCAAAUUCCUCAGUGUUCUCUACAUGCCUCAGUUUACACAUCUGGAAUAUGCAAUAAUGAUACUUACAAGGCUGUUAAAAGGAAUAAAAUAGGUAAGUGACUAGCAUAGGACAGGCAUAUAGUAGGUACUCAAUAAAUGGUGGCUGGUGACCGUUAUCUCCUUCCUC
rnacentral:lncRNA from 12 species